GUGCCAGCAGCCGCGGUAAUACAGAGGGUGCAAGCGUUAAUCGGAAUUACUGGGCGUAAAGCGCAUGUAGGUGGUUGCAUAAGUUUGAUGUGAAAGCCCCGGGCUUAACCUGGGAAUGGCGUUGAAGACUGUGUGACUAGAGUCGGACAGAGGGUCGUGGAAUUUCCGGUGUAGCGGUGAAAUGCGUAGAGAUCGGAAAGAACACCAGUGGCGAAGGCGGCGACCUGGGUCCAGACUGACACUGAGGUGCGAAAGCAUGGGGAGCAAACAGGAUUAGAUACCCUGGUAGUCC
rnacentral:rRNA from 1 species